rnacentral:rRNA from 1 species
AUUAAGGGGUUUCCGUAGGUGACCUGCGG